rnacentral:rRNA from 1 species
CUACGGGGCGCAGCAGUGAGGAAUAUUGCACAAUGGGGGGAACCCUGAUGCAGCAACGCCGCGUGGAGGAUGACGCAUUUCGGUGUGUAAACUCCUUUUAUAUGUCAAGAAAAUGACGGUAGCAUAUGAAUAAGCACCGGCUAACUCCGUGCCAGCAGCCGCGGUAAUACGGAGGGUGCAAGCGUUACCCGGAAUCACUGGGCGUAAAGGACGCGUAGGCGGGUUGGAAAGUCAGGUGUGAAAUCCUACAGCUUAACUGUAGAACUGCACUUGAAACUUCUAAUCUAGAGUAUGGGAGGGGGAGAUGGAAUUAGUGGUGUAGGGGUAAUAUCCGUAGAUAUCACUAGGAAUACCUAAAGCGAAGGCGAUCUCCUGGAACAUUACUGACGCUAAGGCGUGAAAGCGUGGGGAGCAAACAGGAUUAGAUACCCCUGUAGUC